GCCCCCCUCUUUCUUCUUUCUUAACACAUGCAAGUCGAACGGAAAGGCCCCUUUGGGGGUACUCGAGUGGCGAACGGGUGAGUAACACGUGAGUAACCUGCCCUUGACUUCGGGAUAACUUCAGGAAACUGGGGCUAAUACCGGAUAGGAAUCCUUGCUGCAUGGUGGGGGUUGGAAAGCUUCGGCGGUUUUGGAUGGACUCGCGGCUUAUCAGCUUGUUGGUGGGGUAGUGGCUUACCAAGGCUUUGACGGGUAGCCGGCCUGAGAGGGCGACCGGCCACAUUGGGACUGAGAUACGGCCCAGACUCCUACGGGAGGCAGCAGUGGGGAAUAUUGCACAAUGGGCGGAAGCCUGAUGCAGCAACGCCGCGUGCGGGAUGACGGCCUUCGGGUUGUAAACCGCUUUCAGCAGGGGCGAAGCUUGUGGUGACGGUACCUGCAGAAGAAGCACCGGCUAACUACGUG
rnacentral:rRNA from 1 species